rnacentral:rRNA from 1 species
UACGAAGGUGGCAAGCGUUACUCGGAAUUACUAGGCGUAAAGGGCCGGUAGGUGGUUUGGUAAGUCUGUUGUGAAAUUUCCCGGCUUAACUGGGAAGGGUCAACAGAUACUGCCAGGCUUGAGUAUAGGAGAGGGUACUGGAAUUCCCGGUGUAGCGGUGAAAUGCGCAGAGAUCGGGAGGAACACCAAUGGCGAAAGCAGGUACCUGGACUAUUACUGACACUCAGCUGCGAAAGCUAGGGGAGCAAACAGG